rnacentral:rRNA from 1 species
UGGCGGACGGGUGAGUAACGCGUGGGUAACCUGCCUCAUACAGGGGGAUUACAGUUGGAAACGGCUGCUAAUACCGCAUAAGCGCACAGUACCGCAUGGUACGGUGUGAAAAACUCCGGUGGUAUGAGAUGGACCCGCGUCUGAUUAGGUAGUUGGUGGGGUAACGGCCUACCAAGCCGACGAUCAGUAGCCGACCUGAGAGGGUGACCGGCCACAUUGGGACUGAGACACGGCCCAA